UACGUAGGGUGCGAGCGUUUGUCCGGAAUUAUUGGGCGUAAAGAGCUCGUAGGCGGUUUGUCGCGUCUGCUGUGAAAACUCGGGGCUUAACCCCGGGCCUGCAGUGGGUACGGGCAGACUAGAGUGCGGUAGGGGAGACUGGAAUUCCUGGUGUAGCGGUGAAAUGCGCAGAUAUCAGGAGGAACACCGGUGGCGAAGGCGGGUCUCUGGGCAGUAACUGACGCUGAGAAGCGAAAGCGUGGGGAGCGAACAGG
rnacentral:rRNA from 1 species